UACAGAGGGUGCGAGCGUUAAUCGGAAUUACUGGGCGUAAAGCGCGCGUAGGCGGCUUUGCAAGUCGGAUGUGAAAUCCCCAGGCUCAACCUGGGAACUGCAUUCGAGACUGCUUUGCUAGAGUAUGGGAGAGGGAAGUGGAAUUUCCGGUGUAGCGGUGAAAUGCGUAGAUAUCAGGCGGAACACCCGUGGCGAAGGCGGCCAGCUGGGCCGUCCCUGACGCUGAGGCGCGAAGGCGUGGGGAGCGAACGGG
rnacentral:rRNA from 1 species